GCAGCCCCAAGCCGUGCGCCAACGCCAGCGCUCCCAGGAGGAGAGGGUUCUGCAGCUGCUGUGGCAGCCCCGCGCCCAGGCCGAGCAGGGUCAGGGCCGCCAGCGCGCCAGCAAGUCCAAGCUCAGAGAGGUGAAGUAAUUUGUCCAAGGACACACAGCAAAUAAGAAGCCAAACCAUAAGAGCCAGUGACCAUCCUGCCCCUCUGGAGGCAUCUCAGAGAGAGAAGGGGAGAUGAAAAACCCAGGCCUUCCAGGUGGCUCCAACUGUGCUAGGAGUUUGAGUCUGAAAAUAGGCCUCCAACUGGGAUCUCUUGAAAGGACAGCAAACCACCAGCGUUGGGAGUUGUUGGGAGCUCCUAACCUAGAGUACCUGGGAAGCUCCCAAGGAAAGGGAGAGAGAAGGAAAAGGCAAAGUUUUAGAUCCUACCUAUUGACUACUACACAGGAACGCGAAGAUUUAGCUCUCAUACUGCCUUCCACAUUUUUCUGCGCAGCCUUUGUUUACAUCAUAAGUCUGCAUUUACAAGAACCACGAGACAGAUUAUUCAGGCUGAGUCAGGAGUGUACCGUGAUUAUAAUUCCUUUGCUAGAUGUUCUGUUUUUCUUGGGGUAAGUGUUGCUUGGUUUUUUACUUGCUUAAUUUUCUACGCAUCUAUCACGAAUUCAUCUAUCUAUCGUUAAUUCCCCUUAAUCUCUCCUUGAAGCGAAAAAUAAUCUAAAGAUUUGGUUUCCCAUCCAGAUAAGAAUACUUUCAAAAAGACUCACAGACUUCUGUAACAAAUACGUGGCUUCUUCAACAAAUAAACAGCUUGAAAAAAAGCAGGGGGAGGGGAAAAUGUUAUAAAAGAGACUUAAGAGACAUAGCAGUCAAAUGCCACAUGUGGGCCUUGUU